rnacentral:rRNA from 1 species
UACGGGGGGUGCGAGCGUUGUCCGGAAUCACUGGGCGUAAAGGGUGCGUAGGCGGCUUUGUAAGUCAGUGGUGAAAUAUGUCAGCUUAACUGAGAGGGUGCCAUUGAUACUGCAGAGCUUGAGUACAGAUGAGGUAGGCGGAAUUGACGGUGUAGCGGUGAAAUGCUUAGAUAUCGUCAAGAACACCUAUAGCGAAGGCAGCUUACUAGGCUGUAACUGACGCUGAGGCACGAAAGUGUGGGGAUCAAACAGG